GCCCUUUUAACUCAGGGGUAGAGUAAUGGUAAGGCGUAAGUCAUCGGUUCAAGCCCGAUAAAGGGCU
rnacentral:tRNA from 1 species